UAACGCUUAAGUUUCACCUCUGAGGCGUGCUUUUCACGCGCAUUGAUUUAUUCGACUCGAGUUUUUGUAGCAAACGGACAAAAUAAUGGAGAAGAUCCCUAGGGAGAGCGCUGAUAAAGAGGAAAUGGAGAUACACACCCCCUCAUACCCCCUACCCCUGGAAAUACAGCAGAUGGAUCAUUCAGAGAAGGCCUGUCGUUACUGUGGCGUGAGUUAUUUGAUCCUGCAUGAGUUCCAGCGUCUGCAGGAGCGUUUGUGGGCGGUGGAGAGAGAGCUGGAGCAGGAGAGAGGAGGCGCGGAGAGAGAGCGGAGCCUGAGAGAAGAGCUUCAGGCAGCCUACACUCAUCUGGAGGAGCUGAAAACAUCUCUGCUUCAACACGAGCAAACCACGAGGGCCCUUGACCUGGUCACGCGUGACACGGAGAAAGAGCUGGAAAACCAGCGCUCUCGCCGCCUGCACCUCAGAUCGAGGUAUAUACAGCAGCAGAGGCGUCUCAGGGAGGCUCUGGUCCUGCUUCGGUCGUCUCGUGGGGAGAUGUCGACUGUUAAGAGCCAGUUAACUCGCUUCCUGGAGACAUGGGACGACAGCAAAGCACGGAUGCAGCAGAGUUGCAUCAGUGCUGACGCAGAGUGUGCUCGCCUGAGUCGGGAAGUGGAUGGUCUGCAGGUGGAGGUGCCAGAGUUGAGGUCACACCUGAAUACAGCCAGAGAACAGUUGGAGAAGCAGGUCCAGUCCCAGAAACUACUGCAGAACCAAAACCAAGAAGCCCAGUCUCUCAUACAGGGCCUGGAGGAAGAGGUGAAGACUCUGAAAAUAGAUCUCCAGAACAGCAUGCAUGAAAGAGAGCAUGCAAAGAAACUCCUAGAGAUGAAGUCCGUGGAGAAGGAGGAUCUGCAUGCGUUGUGGAGCGAACUGACCGCCAUCAUAGAAAGGCUGUCCCGAGACCUGAGGGAGGAGGAGGAGAGCCGGUUGUCAUGUCAACGACGAUGCGAGUCCAUGCAGGAGCAGCUGUUGGCGUGGCAACAGAAAGAGGAGGAGGCAACCCGGAGACUGGAAAGGGCGGAGGACGAGAUGAAGGACCUGAGAGUUGCCCAGUCCACUUUACAGCAGGAGAGGGAAGAGCUGAGAAGAAGUCAUGUGGGAGAACUGGAGAGACUGGAGGAGAGCUUUAGAAUAAGGCUGAACACUGCAGAAGAGCACAGGUCAAAGACAGAGGCUUUACUCCAGCAGACACGGGCCGAGCAGGACACACUGCUGAAACAGCAGGAGACGGAGUUGAGAAGAGACGCUGAGAUUGAGCUGGACAUCCAGAGACAGAAAAACCAGGAGCUGCAAAACAAAUACCAGAGUGAAAACCAGCGAAUGCAAAACGAGAUUCCCGCUCUGGUUGGUUCAGCCACACAGGAGCUCCGGCAGGAGUUGGCAGAGCUUCAGAAGCGUGUUCGUGAACAGGAGGAGCAGAUUCGGGAGAGCGCCACCCAGAGGCAGCAGGAGAUACUGCGGGAGCAGAGGACAGGAGAGACGCUGAGGCAGAACACACACCAGCUCAACAUCGCCCAGAGUCACAUACAGAAGCUCAGAGGAGAGAGAGAGACGCCCUGGAGGAAGAGAAGUCGUUUCUUGAGGAGACAGUGAGGCGUGAGUGUGAAGAAAGGGAAGAACUGACAGCAGCGCUGACACUGGCCAAAGAACAGCUUCAGGAACUCAGACACUCCACCCUUAAACUUCAUGAGAACCAGACACACGCCCGACUCUCCAGAUCCACAGACCUCCCCGUCCCCAGAGUCAAUCCCAGCCCUUUCCAUCCUCCACGUGUGCCUGAGUGGCAUUCUUCGAGCAUGGGAAGAAGUGCGGCAUCCUGGCAUGGGUCAUCCCGGCCGACACCCACCCUGCCCAAAAUCAGCAAAGAGAGAGUCGCUUCGGUGAACGACCUGUGCAAAAGCUUGGGCAGGGUGAGGAGCAGACCGGACAAACUCUGACUCCCCCGAAAGACCCAUAGGUGGAAACGAGCAUCUAUCAUUAGUGAUGACACGUGAAUAAGUCAUAUGGAUUAGAAAGUCCAGGACGUUUCCCUGCUUUUGGUCCGAGACGUUGGAAUAUGAUUCAGCAUCCGUGCGACAAAUGGUUUGAAGAACGUUUGGAUAGAUGGAUGGAUGGACAUGG